rnacentral:misc_RNA from 1 species
AAGUCGUAACAAGGUUUCCGUAGGUGAACCUGCGGAAGGAUCAUUAUUGAAUUUAGAGACUGAAAGGUUUCGAAUUCCACACUGUGUUUUAAGCGUCUGACCGUUUAAUUACGAGAUGAUGUGCAAACCUGUUCAUACCACGUAUGAAAUUAAACAAACAAAAACUAAAACUUUCAACAACGGAUCUCUUGGCUCUC